AGAGUUUGAUCAUGGCUCAGAACGUACGCUGGCGGCACGCCUAACACAUGCAAGUCGAACGAAGUAGCAAUACUUAGUGGCAGACGGGUGAGUAACAUGUAGGUAUCUGCCCUUUGGCCUGGAAUAACACGAGGAAACUUGUGCUAAUACUGGAUAAGUCUUUACGGAGAAAGCUUUAUGCACCAUUGGAUGAGCCUGCACUUGAUUAGUUUGUUGGUGGGGUAAUGGCCUACCAAGACUGUGAUCAAUAGCUGAUUUGAGAGGAUGAUCAGCCACAUUGGGACUGAGACACGGCCCAAACUCCUACGGGAGGCAGCAGUGGGGAAUCUUGCACAAUGGAGGAAACUCUGAUGCAGCGAUGCCGCGUGAGUGAAGAAGGCCUUUGGGUUGUAAAGCUCUUUCGUCGGGGAAGAAAAUGACUGUACCCGAAUAAGAAGGUCCGGCUAACUUCGUGCCAGCAGCCGCGGUAAUACGAAGGGACCUAGCGUAGUUCGGAAUUACUGGGCUUAAAGAGUUCGUAGGUGGUUGAAAAAGUUGGUGGUGAAAUCCCAGAGCUUAACUCUGGAACUGCCAUCAAAACUUUUCAGCUAGAGUUUGAUAGAGGAAAGCAGAAUUUCUAGUGUAGAGGUGAAAUUCGUAGAUAUUAGAAAGAAUACCAAUUGCGAAGGCAGCUUUCUGGAUCAUUACUGACACUGAGGAACGAAAGCAUGGGUAGCGAAGAGGAUUAGAUACCCUCGUAGUCCAUGCCGUAAACGAUGUGUGUUAGACGUUGGAAAUUUAUUUUCAGUGUCGCAGCGAAAGCAAUAAACACACCGCCUGGGGAGUACGACCGCAAGGUUAAAACUCAAAUGAAUUGACGGGGACCCGCACAAGUAGUGGAGCAUGUGGUUUAAUUCGAAGAUACGCGCAGAACCUUACCAACACUUGACAUGUUCGUCGCGACUUUAAGAGAUUAAAGUUUUCGGUUCGGCCGGACGAAACACAGGUGCUGCAUGGCUGUCGUCAGCUCGUGUCGUGAGAUGUUGGGUUAAGUCCCGCAACGAGCGCAACCCUCACUUUUAGUUGCCAUCAUUUAGUUGGGCACUCUGAAAGAACUGCCAGUGAUAAGCUGGAGGAAGGUGGGGAUGACGUCAAGUCCUCAUGGCCCUUACGUGUUGGGCUACACACGUGCUACAAUGGCAUUUACAAUAGGAUGCAAGAUGGCGACGUCAAGCAAAUCCUAAAAAGAUGCCUCAGUUCGGAUUGUACUCUGCAACUCGAGUACAUGAAGCUGGAAUUACUAGUAAUCGCGGAUCAGCGCGCCGCGGUGAAUACGUUCCC
rnacentral:rRNA from 1 species